rnacentral:rRNA from 1 species
AUUGAACGCUGGCGGCAUGCCUUACACAUGCAAGUCGAACGGUAACAGGUCUUCGGAUGCUGACGAGUGGCGAACGGGUGAGUAAUACAUCGGAACGUGCCCGAUCGUGGGGGAUAACGGAGCGAAAGCCUUGCUAAUACCGCAUACGAUCUACGGAUGAAAGCAGGGGACCGCAAGGCCUUGCGCGGACGGAGCGGCCGAUGGCAGAUUAGGUAGUUGGUGGGAUAAAAGCUUACCAAGCCGACGAUCUGUAGCUGGUCUGAGAGGACGACCAGCCACACUGGGACUGAGACACGGCCCAGACUCCUACGGGAGGCAGCAGUGGGGAAUUUUGGACAAUGGGCGCAAGCCUGAUCCAGCCAUGCCGCGUGCAGGAUGAAGGCCUUCGGGUUGUAAACUGCUUUUGUACGGAACGAAAAGACUCUUUCUAAUAAAGAGGGUCCAUGACGGUACCGUAAGAAUAAGCACCGGCUAACUACGUG